AGUGAACGCUGGCGAUAGGCCUAACACAUGCAAGUCGAACGGCAGCACAGUAAGACCUUGCUCUUACGGGUGGCGAGUGGCGGACGGGUGAGGAAUACAUCGGAAUCUACCUUUUCGUGGGGGAUAACGCAGGGAAACUUACGCUAAUACCGCAUACGACCUACGGGUGAAAGCAGGGGAUCUUCGGACCCUGCGCGAUUGAAUGAGCCGAUGUCGGAUUAGCUAGUUGGCGGGGUAAAGGCCCACCAAGGCGACGAUCCGUAGCUGGUCUGAGAGGAUGAUCAGCCACACUGGCACUGGGACACGGUCCAGACUCCUACGGGAGGCAGCAGUGGGGAAUAUUGGACAAUGGGCACAAGCCUGAUCCAGCCAUACCGCGUGCGUGAAGAAGGCCUUCGGGUUGUAAAACCCUUUUGUUGGGAAAGAAAAGCAGCAGGUUAAUACCCAGCUGUUCUGACGGUACCCGAAGAAUAAGCACCGGCUAACUUCGUG
rnacentral:rRNA from 1 species